AGGACGAACGCUGGCGGCGUGCUUAACACAUGCAAGUCGAACGGAAAGGCCCUUUCGGGGGUACUCGAGUGGCGAACGGGUGAGUAACACGUGGGUGAUCUGCCCUGCACUUUGGGAUAAGCCUGGGAAACUGGGUCUAAUACCGAAUACACCUUGCUGGCUGCAUGGCCUGGUGGGGGAAAGCUUUUGCGGUGUGGGAUGGGCCCGCGGCCUAUCAGCUUGUUGGUGGGUGAUGGCCUACCAAGGCGACGACGGGUAGCCGGCCUGAGAGGGUGUCCGGCCACACUGGGACUGAGAUACGGCCCAGACUCCUACGGGAGGCAGCAGUGGGGAAUAUUGCACAAUGGGCGCAAGCCUGAUGCAGCGACGCCGCGUGAGGGAUGACGGCCUUCGGGUUGUAAACCUCUUUCAGUAUCGACGAAGCGCAAGUGACGGUAGGUACAGAAGAAGCACCGGCAACUACGCGCCAGCAGCCGC
rnacentral:rRNA from 1 species